AAGUCCUUGCCCUAUUGCUUAGGUGGCAGGAGGCUUUAGGCGAAGGAUCCACACUUUCUGCAGCUCAGUUUCUUCACCUUUAAAGUGUUGUUACAAAGACGUGCGACAUCUUAUAUGUUUCACAUAAGGAACACACCUACCACAUCAUAGUGGCUCAGAAAUUGGUUAAGUGAUGGGAGAGAAGGGGAGAACUAUAUGCCAACUGGAGACUUUGAGACAAUGUUCUUGGUCCUUUAUUGUUGCCUGGUGGGAUGGGAUGGUUCACCAAACAUGUGCCAUGAUAGUAAUUUGCUGGACAUACUGUGCAUGAAUCUUCAACAUGAAUUAGCAAUUUUGAAAGAAUAUAAUUAUAAUAAAAUAUAUUCAACACCACAACUGUAAAGAACAUCAUUUUGGCCAGGUGUGGUGGCUCACGCCUGUAAUCCCAACCCUUUGAAAGGCAGAAGCGAGCAGAUCACUUCAGGUCAGCAGUUUGAGACCAGCCUGGCAUAUGGAGAAAUUGGCUUACUAAAAAUACAAAAAUUAGCUGGGUGUGGUGGUGAGUGCCUGUAAUCACAGCUACAUGGGAGGCUGAGACAGGGGAAUUGCUUGAACUUGGGAGGCAGUGGUUGCAGUGACCUGAGAUGGCACCACUGUACUUCAGUCUGGAUGACAGAGCAAGACUCCAUCUCAAAAAAAAAAAAAAAAAAAAGGCACUUUUUUUUUCUUUUGUUCGUUCAUAAAGUAUUUUACUAUCUUGUACAACCUUGUGGUCAAUGUAAUUGUAGGAGGUUUUCAUUGCACUACCAAAAAAUUUAGUUUAACAGAGGGUUCUGUUAAUAGGAUACCCAGAACAGAAGUUUGCUGUAUUCAACACCGUCUACCUUCACACGCCUUGCAAGUAUUGUUAACCAGCUUUAUGACCAAGAGGUUUCCAUAAGGCCAUAAUUACUUUGUCACACAACAUAUAAAAUGCACAUCUCGAGCUGAUGAAAAUAAGAAGUUUGAUCCACUCCAUAGCAAGCAUUUCUAAUUGCUAAAUUUUUCACACAUUUUUUAUUACUUGGUGUAUUACAGAUGUGAGAA
rnacentral:lncRNA from 1 species